rnacentral:rRNA from 1 species
AUUGAACGCUGGCGGAAUGCUUUACACAUGCAAGUCGAACGGCAGCACGGACUUCGGUCUGGUGGCGAGUGGCGAACGGGUGAGUAAUGUAUCGGAACGUGCCCAGUCGUGGGGGAUAACGUAGUGAAAAUUACGCUAAUACCGCAUACGAUCUAUGGAUGAAAGCGGGGGAUCGCAAGACCUCGCGCGAUUGGAGCGGCCGAUAUCAGAUUAGGUAGUUGGUGGGGUAAAGGCCCACCAAGCCAACGAUCUGUAGCUGGUCUGAGAGGACGACCAGCGACACUGGAACUGAGACACGGUCCAGACUCCUACGGGAGGCAGCAGUGGGGAAUUUUGGACAAUGGGCGAAAGCCUGAUCCAGCCAUUCCGCGUGCAGGAUGAAGGCCCUCGGGUUGUAAACUGCCUUCGUACAGAACGAAAAGGUUUCUACUAAUACUAGGAGCUCAUGACGGUACUGUAAGAAUAAGCACCGGCUAACUACGUGCCAGCAGCCGCCGUAA